GUUUGUGUAGCUCAGUGGUAGAGUGCAUGCUUUGUAUGUAGGAUCUGCUGGGUUCAAUUCCCAGCUUUUCCC